AAAACGCUGGCGGCGUGCUAAUACAUGCAGUCGAGCGAACUUUGGGAGCUUGCUCCUAAAGGUUAGCGGCGGACGGGUGAGUACACGGUGGGCAACCUGCCUAUAAGACUGGGAUAACUUUGGGAAACCGGAGCUAAUACCGGAUAAUUCUUUUCCUCUCAUGAGGAAAAGCUGAAAGACGGUUUACGCUGUCACUUAUAGAUGGGCCCGCGGCGCAUUAGCUAGUUGGUGAGGUAACGGCUCACCAAGGCAACGAUGCGUAGCCGACCUGAGAGGGUGAUCGGCCACACUGGGACUGAGACACGGCCCAGACUCCUACGGGAGGCAGCAGUAGGGAAUCUUCCGCAAUGGACGAAAGUCUGACGGAGCAACGCCGCGUGAGUGAUGAAGGUUUUCGGAUCGUAAAACUCUGUUGUUAGGGAAGAACAAGUACGAGAGUAACUGCUCGUACCUUGAUGGUACCUAACCAGAAAGCCACGGCUAACUACGUGCCAGCAGCCGCGGUAAUACGUAGGUGGCAAGCGUCGUCCGGAAUUAUUGGGCGUAAAGCGCGCGCA
rnacentral:rRNA from 1 species